CUCCCCCGAGCCCAGAAAAGUGGCCGGCCGCGUCCGGGCCGCCCGCCCUGCGCCGGGAUGCGGCGGCGGCUAACGGUCCAGGGAGGCGGCAGGGGCGGCAGGAGCCGCUAGGCGGAGAGAGACCAGACCAGCCAAAGAACCUAAAAGAGAAGAAGGGAAAAUUUUUCCACCCUGACAGAUGACAACCACAAAGGGACCUCAACUGGCUGGGCAUUGCUCACUCCAAGACUGCUGCAGCUGAGAGAUCCUGGGAUUUCUGACAAAAAACAGCAGAAGAAAUCUUCACCAAGAAGUCCCUGACCUUCUUGAGACCAGUGGAAGAAACCUUGCGGGUCCAGAGAAACUCAAGACCAAAGCUGACUGGUGCCCUCUUCAAGGAGAAGGCACAGCCUUGAGGUGGCCAGCCUGGGAUUCUUCUGCACACUCAGUCACGUCAGAACAAAGAUCAGGUUACUCUAACUUGCCCAAUAAUGUAUAUGAAUUACUAAGUCGGUUCAACAAAAUCUGCUGAGUUGCUUCUAUGUGAAAAGAACUGUAUCAGGAAUUGGAAAUGUAAAAAUGCUCUCAAAUAUAGAAGGCAUGAUUAGAUAAGUACAUAAAUGAUGAUAAUACAAAGUUAAAGCAGAGGCAGAUUUACGUGAAGUGAAUGAGGUUCAGUGUCAGCACCCCUCACUGAAAUGGGCCCCUUCUAACACUCUAGGGGAGACCUGAGGAACAUACUUAUGUGGCCAUACGUUUUGGUAAAAUUUGCAAAAAUGAGAUUUGUUUUUAAAUUGCAGUUAGUUAAACUGUCUGUUUCCCCUCUCACUUUCCCCACUGUUGGAAUGGCCAAGGCCAUUUUUGAGAUCCAGUGAAGGAGAAGUUGUAUUGAGGGCACAUUUAGUUGAGUUUAUUGAAAUAUAUGUAUGGGGCUCACAGAUCCUUCAUUGUAGAAUGAACUGAUUGCCGGCUGCACUGGUGUAGGAGUAAUUUCUAGAAACAUCUCACCAACCCCUGUGCUGACUCAUUGGGUAUUCAUGGCACGAGAGUACAUAACAGAGGCUUUAUCAUGACAAGAACAUGCCCUAUGGCACUUAGCACAGGAAGUAGGUGGGUACUGGAGGAGACACAAGGUUUGAAGUGUGUGGAGCCAGAAGCUAGUCUGGGUAAAAUUCUUUUAAUCAGACACAUAAAUUGUAGAGGAUUUGAUUCUCGGUAGUGCCUGAUCGAAACAGAAUUUUCUGAAGUCAGGAAUACUCUCAAUAACAGCAUAAAUAGCUAUACAAUUAUACACACACCAUACAUUUUUUUUCUUUUUGUUGCUAAUUGCACAAAAUGAUAGAAUAUGUAGGUAUCUGGGCACAACCUGGUAUCAGUACAAUAAAGAGUGUGUAUGUCUAUAUGUGAAGUUGUAUGUUUUGUUCAUUCCAGUUAUCAACAAUAAAAAAAUUGUGACCAACCAUUAUAGAAGAAUGACUGAAUUAUCUUUCCAUUUUCUCUAUAGAAAAUAUUAUAAUUAACUCCUACAGGUACUUAAUGAAAAUGUUAUUUUUCUAGAUUUUUUAAUGUUUGUUGUAUUCAUUAACUCGUUAAAACUUG